GGAGGGGCGGGGCCGACGGGGCGGAGAUGAACGGCAGGACCAGACUGGGUGCCGAGAGCGGAAGUGGGAUUCGAAGCGGGAAGGCGGGACCUGAGGCUCGCGGUGGCCGAACUGGCGGCGCUCGGGGCUGCCGCGGCCGGCGCCGAGCGGUCUUACAAGUUCAUCUGUGAGCACAAACGACAAGGUGCCCAACUGUUCAAGUUUUCUUAUCUGCGCUAAGGGUCCACGCAAGCGGCCUCAGUGAAAAACCUGUCAAAAGGCUAAGUCCUUCGAGCCGGAUUCGAACCAGCGACCUAAGGAUGACCAUGUCUGAACAUCUACAGUCCUCCGCUCUACCAACUGAGCUAUCGAAGGAUUGGUGGAAAAAAUGGAGGCACCUGGGUGGUUAAGUUGUUAAGCGUC